rnacentral:lncRNA from 1 species
AUGCUAAUGACUGGUUUGCUGUUAAUAAAUAUGUGGGUAAAUCUCUGUUUGGGGCUCUCAGCUCUGAAGGCUGUGAGACCCCUGAUUUCCCAUUUCACAUCUCUAUACUUCUGUAUGUGUGUCUUUAAUUCCUCUAGCGCUGCUGGGUUAGGGUCUCCCCAACUGAGCUGGACUUGGCAAUUCUAUUAUCUGUUUUUUAAAAGACACAAAAUGAUAUUGUAGGGCCAUUAAGGAAUAUUCACUAAAGAACUUGCUUUCCCAUUAUAAACAAUUAGAAAAAACUGGACAGAAUUAUUUUAUUCUGAGUUAUUUAUUUUAUUUUAUUUAGAGUUAUUUUAUUCAGAGUUAUUUAUUUUAAUAACUUCAGCUAUUAGGACAAUAGCCAGUAUAUGACUGUGAUCCUAGAGAGAAGGAAAACAAGUGAAGUGAGUUAUAUAAUUAUAUUGGCCUCCUUGGUGGAGGCAAUUUUCAGAUGGCACAGAGAGGGAAACCCAAACAGAACACUGAUAUCACUAAGUGAAGGAGACAGAGUUCAGGAAGACAGACAGAGUUGAGUUCAGGAAGGCUACGUAUCUGGAGUUUGCAGAUCAGAAUACUGUAGAGCAGAGGUUGGCAGACUAUGGUUGUGGACCAAUUCAAGACAUAGUCUUUUUUUGUACAGGUCUAAGAUAAGAAUGAUUUAUACACUUUUGAAAGACUUGUUUUUAAAAAAAGAAUAUAGCAGAGACUAUGUGUGGCCUACAAAGCCUCAAAUAUUUACUAUUUAGCUAUAUAUAGAAGUGUUUCCCAAACCAUGCUAUAUAGGGUGAAGAUAAUCAGAGAAAGUUCCAGAAAUCUGCAGAGCACUCCCUUUUAGGCUUUGGCUGAAUGUUAAUUUGCACAUGAAUAGGGUAAAUUUCCAGGUGACUAGGCAAAGGACAAAUGCCAGGGAGCCAUAAGUUGAGCAAUUCUCAGAACUCACGCAGUACUGGGAGACAUUCAAGUUUCACCCAACCAGAGAGGAGGGAUCUCACUGAAUACUUGGGUGAUCAGUAGAGAUCCUACAAGAUUCACACCUUAAUAUCAAGGAUAAGGUAGCUGAUAUGGUUUGGCUCUGUGUCCCCACCCAAAUCUCAUCUUGAAUUGUAAUCCCUGUGUGUCUAUGGUGGAACCUGGUAGGAGGUGAGUGGAUCAUGGUAGUGGUUUCCCCCAUGCUGUUCUCACGAUAGUGAAUGAAUUCUCAUGAGAUCUGAUGGUUUAAAAGUGUUUGGCAGUUCCCCAUUUGCUUGCUUUCUCUCCUGCCACCACGUAAGCUGUGCCUUGCUUCUCCUUUGCCUCCCACCAUAAUUGUAAGUUUCUUGAGGCCUCCCCAGUCAUGUGAAAUUGUGAGUCAAUUAAACCUCUUUUAUUUGUAAAUUACCCAAUUUCAGGUAGUUCUUUUUAGCUGUGUGAAAUUGGAUUAAUACAGAAAAUUGGUACUGGAAUAGUGAGGUAAU